rnacentral:rRNA from 1 species
GACAUAGGUUGCGAACGUUAUCCGGAAUUAUUGGGCGUAAAGGAUGCGUAGAUGGUUUGAUAAGUUAUCAGUGGCAAAUCGGGGCUCAACCUCGUGGAAGUUGGUAAUACUGUCAUACUUGAGUGCAGGAGAGGUUAACGGAACUCUAUAUGGAGCGGUAAAAUGUGACGAUAUAUAGAAGAACACCAAUAAGGCGAAGGCAGUUAACUAUUCUGUUACUGACAUUGAGGCAUGAAAGCGUGGGGAGCAAAACGG